GCCGGGCAUGGUGGUGUAUGCCUGUAAUCCCAGCUACUCAGGAGGCUGAGGCAGGAGAAUUGCUUGAAUCCAGGAGGUGGAGGUUGCAGUGAGCUGAGAUUGCACCACUGCACUCCAGCCUGGGCAACAGAGCAAGACUCUGUCUCAA
rnacentral:sRNA from 1 species